rnacentral:lncRNA from 1 species
CGCACAUUAAAAAAUAAUAAUAAUAAUAAUAAACCAUCAACAUCCUUUGCAAUUAUGGAUCACCCAUAUAUAUUAGCCCAUAUAUUUGGAAAGAUUUUGAUCAACAAAAGGCUAAUACAUCUUAUUAUAGUUUCGGUACAUUUAAAAAAAAAUAAUAGAGAAAUUGAAGCCUGUAGAAGACCUCGAAUCUGAAAAUACUGCAGCAGUAGUCCGGCAUGCUCGGUUUUUGGUAGGACAAAUAUUCUAUUUCCUUCAUCCAACCACUAUGGAGUUGGAUAUCCAUGGUAUUCAUUGCUUGGUUUGGGAGGGAGCUCCUCCGGUAGCGCCUUGCUCUAGCUCAUAAAGUUGUCUUACGACCUCUUCCUUCUUAGCUUUCAGGGCAUCAAUUUUAGCGUCAAGCUUCUCUAGCUUCUGCCUUAGCUUGACUGGAUCCAUGGUCUUUUCCUUCUCCUUUUUCUUUCCUUCAUUAGCCACACCUUCCAUCUGCAUCAUAAAGCAAAGCACAACCUUAUCAGUCCAAACUUAAAUGCUUCCCUAUUUAACUUUUACACUUUGAUAAGGGUACGUAGUAGAAGCAUUUUGGUGGAUCUUGUUUAUUUUAAAAAUUCUCCGGCCUUUUAUAAUUAAUGUCCUUAGAAAAUAAUCACUUCAAAGUAAAUCUUCUCUAUAUACCUACAUCAUUAUAUUUAACAGUUGAAUUAAUUUGAAAAAGAUCUAAAGUUAGAAAUUUAUCAAUAGGUAAUGUUGCUCCAAUACCUAACCAAAAAGCUACUACGGUACCGAUCAAAAAGACUGUUGUAGCUACUGGACGAUGAAAUAGAUUUUGAAAUUUAUUGACAUUCUCUAAAAAAAAGUACUAUCAAUAGCGUCGUUGAUACUGAAACUAUUAAAACAACACCUAAUAACUUAUUGGUCAUUGUGCAGAGUAUUUGAAAUACGGAAAAAAAGUAUCAUUAGGGUAAUCCAUUCAUCUUGAUAUGGGCCGAUCGCCUACCAAGAUAACAAGAUGGCAAACUUUAAAAAUCGCAGUCACAGCCACCACAAUUACAUGGAAGAAUUCAUCUUCAAUACUUUUUGGCGGCCAUGUCACAAGGAUAAAAUAUAAUUUGAAUUAACAAGGGAGGUGAUACUGACCUUUCUCUUCUCAAGGGGAAUUUUAACUUCUCUCUUCAAUGAGGUU